GACGAACGCUGGCGGCGUGCUUAACACAUGCAAGUCGAACGGAAAGGCCCUGCUUUUGUGGGGUGCUCGAGUGGCGAACGGGUGAGUAACACGUGAGUAACCUGCCCUUGACUUUGGGAUAACUUCAGGAAACUGGAGCUAAUACCGGAUAGGAGCUCCUGCUGCAUGGUGGGGGUUGGAAAGUUUCAGCGGUUGGGGCUGGACUCGCGGCUUACCAGCUUGUUGGUGGGGUAGUGGCUUACCAAGGGUUUGACGGGUAGCCGGCCUGAGAGGGUGACCGGCCACAUUGGGACUGAGAUACGGCCCAGACUCCUACGGGAGGCAGCAGUGGGGAAUAUUACACAAUGGGCGGAAGCCUGAUGCAGCGACGCCGCGUGCGGGAUGACGGCCUUCGGGUUGUAAACCGCUUUCGCCUGUGACGCAGCGUGAGUGGCGGUAAUGGGUAAAGAAGCACCGGCUAACUACGUG
rnacentral:rRNA from 1 species